CUGACCUCUCCUCUGUUGUCAUGGCAACCUGGCCACCAUUACCUAUCACCACCUGGGCUACAUGUGCAACAGGGGAGAGACAUGACAACCUGAGAUCUUUACAGCCCUCAGUGAGGGGUGUGUCUGGUCUCACCUUGCGAGGAGAUGGGCGUGGUGAGUCCGCUGCCGUCAGGGGGGAAGCGUGUGUUGUUGAUCAGCAGGUCAAACUUGGUGCUACGACACGUGUUGGUGCACAGAGUGCUGUGUUCAUAGAAGUCUAGCUGACCCGAGUCCAUCAUCUUCCUGAAGGAGAGAGAUUAUUAGAUAAAGGACAAGAGUGAAGAAAGACAGAGGGAAGAGAAGGGACACAUCGUCUACAUCAAUCACCUCGGGUUGAUUUUCCCCUCAGACCUGGGAUCCCAACUGGCAACCCUCCAGUUUCUGGUCCACCUCUAACUUCUAAACUACCUCUAGAUUAUGUCUGUCUAUCAAAUUAUCUCAGAUCUCUGCACAAGUGCUUAGGGGCUAGAGGGCAGGGGUUAAUUUGGGACUGGUCAACUCUACUCUUCACCUGAGCAUGACCCCUCCCAUCCGGAUAGCUCUUUUCCAGUCCUUCAAUGUAGCCUUCCCAGACAUGUGGACAAACUGCUUGGGACUGAUCAGUUGGUCUUCAUACUGUAUGGGGCAGACGUUAUUGUGAGAGUUUAGAAAGGAACCAUACCUUUUCACUGGGAUUACAAUCAUAUACCUAUACCACCUUAUUAGAAAGGAGACAGCAAAGAAACAACUGGCCAGUGAGAAACAUUCAACCGGUGUCUAAGGCAUUGUUAAAGCAAACAACUGGUCCUGUAUGGCUCAGUUGGUAGAGCAUGGUGUUAGCAAUGCCAUGGUUGUGGGUUUGAUUCCUGGGGCCACCCAUAAGCAAAAUGUAUGCACACAAGACGAAGUGGCUUUGGAUGAAAAUGUCUGCAAAAUGGCAUAUAUUAAAUGGUAUGUGACAAUCUCUUCUGCUGACAUUGUACAAACAGGAUUAUAAGUAUAUCAAUAGCUGGCAGGCUGAGCUGUUCCUUCUCUGCAUACCAACAUUUGAAAAACCUGAUGAUUUCUGUAGAAAAUAACCAUGACUAACCUUGACACAUUUGACGUUUAUUCCAGGACAGACAAACUUCUUGACCAGCAGCACAGCUUUACACUCUCCACAUGUGAUGGGAUAACCCAGCUCUACCUCCUCCCCAUCAACUGUGGCUUCUUCUGAAGGAACAUUUUUUUUAUGAUAUACUUUGUUUGUUUAUUUAUGAGUGUGUUUAUUUAUAUAUGUGUAUAUGUCAAUUACCUGGGUGUGCCUCCACAGCUGUGUCUGUCUCUCCUGACUCAUCCAUACUGCAAGGGAAAGUGAAACAACAAAUGAAAAUGUUGGCAAAAACAAAAAAGGGUCUGACUAUGUUAGCUCACUAACCUAAAGCCUGGGCAAUUAGAUUGGGAAGCCAUCAUGUGAGCAUGGUUCACCGAACCAACUGUUACACUAGUCUUGUCCCCUUUUCCCCUAUCAGGUCCAAGUAAACAUCAGUAUGUACCUACCCUGCUGUGAUUGGUUGUAGCUGGAGGAUGACCUGUGUGUUGCUGUCCUCAUCAUCACCAUUCUCUUCAUCAGUAGCCUUCACCACCACUAGGUCCCCCAUAGAGACCGUUGUCUCCUCGGUUUGUGCCAUCCUCCCAGAGUAGCCUACUGAAUGCCCAGGUGGACAAACGGCAUACGAUAAACCCUGCUCAGCCCAAUAUGGCUGCAUUGCUACUGCAGAAUAGCUCAAUGGUAUCUUCUGAGCAGACCCCAGAAGGUGGAAUAACAAAUGGAUAUGCAGAAGGAUUAGUCUGAAUGAACCAGUGGACAUUUUAAUUGGAGGCUUAUAACCUCAGAUGGCUUGAGAAUUAACCACGGAACAUUCUGAAGGUCUCGUACCAACUGAAAUGGCAGCGGUGGUGUUCCAAUCACCUUGUGAUUGAACAGCCGGUAUGGAGGUACAAGUGUGCCUAAACACUUAUGAAAUGGCCCAAUCCAGGUCCCUUGAUGGGAAUGUCAAUCUGUCUUAUGACUGGCAUUGACCAAUUACACUUCAACGUUGAUAUACCCGUAAUACGGGUUUUAAGGUCUGUCAUACAAUCACAUUGACGUGGGAAUUCCACUGACGAGCUGCUGCUCGAAAAAUGGAUAAGGCCCACUUCCUUCCAAUGAGUGAAGCUAAGACUUAUUUGUGCUAUAAGCUCAUCACAUCCCAUGAGCCAGGUUGAGUGAUGGAAAGAAACUUUCCUCUCCACUUGUAAAGCCCAUUCACUGCAAUAAAGAUGAAUUAACCCU